rnacentral:tRNA from 2 species
AGGGGUAUAGCUCAAUUGGCAGAGCGUCGGUCUCCAAAACCGAAGGUUGGGGGUUCGACACCCUCUGCCCCUGCCA